rnacentral:lncRNA from 1 species
GCAUUGUUACUGCUGUGGCUCAGGUUCAAUUCCUGGCCCAGGAACUUCUGCAUGUCAUGGGCAUGGCCAAAAAAAAAGUAAUGAUUUGCAUGUUUUCAGGCAAAAUUCAAGGAAUUAUUAGAAUUUCAUUUCCUUACAUUCCACCUGCCAAUAAAGUAUGCUUGCAAACAUUAAAUACUAUAAAACAAACAUAAGAUUUGUCAUCAAAUAACUCUUAUUCUAUGAUCUCAUUAGAAAAUGAUGUUAGAAAAAUCAUAUGGUCAAAAUAAUCAUAUGGUCAAUAACAUUAUUAACUGGCUUUUUCCACUUAAUCAUUGUGAAUAAUUUAUUUUUAUCUUUUUUCUCAUUCUAUAUUUUUGCCAUUUAGCUAGAUUUCCAACAUUAUAUUUUGGUGGGAUUUUUUUCUUUAUUUUAUCAGAAACAAUGAAAUAAAUGUGAGCAUAUAUAUGUGAAUAUCACAAGUUUUUCCAUGAGAUAGGUUCCUAACAUUUGCCAGGAUACUGAAUAUAUACGUGUGUACAUACUUUAAUUGGCACUAAGUUACUCCCACAAAAGUGUUUAAAACAACCUGUUGGCAAAAAUCCUGUGAACACUGGUUAUAAACAGCUGCUAUUUUUACUCUUAAAUGUGAAAUGCCUUAAGUACAUUGUUUGUUAGUACAUUAAAAAAUAAAUAUUAUCCAAUAAUUAUGAAUAAUGCAGGAGAGCCCUGUGGCAAGGUGUGGCCACGUUUCCCUUGAGAACUCCAUUUCUUGCUAAGAAACAGGAUGGACAGAACUCAUUCCAGGGCGAGAAGGCAGAAGGACCCAAGCAAAACAGAAACAAAGACUACCAUUGCAUUAAAUACCACUCUGGCACACAGCUUACUUUACUUUUUACUUUAGCAAAUAGUAAGUGAAAUUGUAGGAAAAAGUGACAGUAUGAAAAAUUUGGAGUUCUGGGAGUUUCCAUUGUGGCUUAGCAGGUUAUGAAUCUGACUAGUAUCCAUGAGGACAUGGGUUUGAUCCCUGGCCUCGCUCAGUAGGUUGAGGAUCUGGCCUUGCUCGGUGACAUGAACUGUGAUGUAGGUCCCAGACUCAGCUCAGAUCUGGCUGAGAGUUCCUAUGACUGUGGUGUAGGCUGGAAGCUGCAGCUCUGCUUUGACCCUUGCCUGGGAACCUCCAUAUGCCACAGGUACAGCCUUAAAAAAACAAAAAAUUGAAGUUCUAAAGUUGGGGUAUGUUAGAAACUUAUGUAACCAGUAACUUUAAAUAAACAACAACAACAAAGAAAAGCCAAUACAAUUUGAGGGGGUUUUUUAAGAAAAUUAUUUAAAAAAAUUAUAUCUGGGGAGUUCCCAUUGUGGUGCAGCAUAAAGGAACCCAACUAGUAUCCAUGGGGAUGUGGGUUUGAUCCCUGGCCUUGUUCAAUGGGUUAAGGAUCUGGUGUUGCCGUGAGCUGUGGUGUAGGUCAUAGAUGCAGCACAGAUCUGGCAUUGUUGUGGCUGUGGUGUAGGCUGGCAGCUGCAGCUCCAAUUUGACCCCUAGCCUGGGAACUUCCAUAUGCCACAAGUGUGGCCCUAAAAAGAAAAAAAAAACGUACCUGUGAGAAUUUAGAUAGUGAGUAGUGAGUACACAGCAAGCUAAAAUUUCGAAAAAUUUGUGCUCCAGUCAGAAAAAAUAAUUUGAUAUUUAAUUCUCUACUUUUGAUGAUUUCCUUUGUUGAAUAAAAGAAAAUGCAUUUGUUUGGGUAGCAUAUUUAAAAUACCGACAUUUAUUUAGUCAUAAGCAUUGACCUCCAAAGUGAGGGUGUGGUAUUAAUCUCUUUCCCUUUUUGGGGAUUCUUGUCUUCUUUUUAAAAUGGAAUAUGAUUAUCUAGAGGCUUAUAUGAAGAAACACAAGUAAAAUUAACCAUAAGAAUCAAAAGUACCACCCCAAAUGGUAGUAUUAGUUCUUUAAAAAAAAAAAAGUCAUGGCGUUUGAUGGCCUCAUAUUUAAAAUUCAGUCCUAAGAUUGGAAAUUCUGGUUUACUAAAUAGGUUAUCUAAAGUUCUAAAUGUGUAAUUUGAAUAGUCAAAUCCCAGAGCCUAUAAAGAGGGCAAAAAAAAAAUCUUGAGAAAGAUCUUAUGUAAAAUUAAUAGGCACAGUAAUCAUUUGUAUUUUCAGAAUGUUACUAGAAACAGAGCACAUCUGAGCCGGCAGCUGCAGCCUGUGGAAGCUUGAGAGAGCCUGGUGGAGCUGAGGGGAAUAUAAAUCACAGCUUGAGAGAGAGACACACACAGCAGAGGCUGGGACACUAAAGACCCAGGCGACUCUAAACAUGGACAGGAAACGCAGUGUUGUUUUUCUCCAUUGGGCCAGAAGGCAGCACAAAUAGUGUGUUUAACAUGUCAUGAUUUCAGAAACACAUUGAUGAUAUGAUUCACUGCCACCAAGAGUCGGCUCCCACAAUCGCACCCAGACCACAUGGACCUGCAAAUGCCUGUUGUAUUGGACAUUCCAAAUGCAAUAACAGAGAAGCUGAUGCUAAUAGAGGUCCCCUUGAUGCUAAGGGAACCAGCAUUUCCAUGCUGGCCGAGGUGCUCCUUUCUCCCUUGCUCUGAGUUCCAUGGGGUCCACAGCAGCAUUUCAAUUGCAAAACACUAAACUCUGGCUUCAGGGUCCUUAAUUGUACUUCUGGAGUCCCUAGAGUCAGCAUUAAUGAAUGUUCUUGCAGUUGCUUCCUGAGUAAGCACACACACACAAGAGCUCUCAUGGCCAUAACCUUGUAGCAAAAAGACCCAGCACCUAAUCUCCCAGGGCUUGGGUCGCCCGUUUGGUCACAGGUGAACUGCUGGUGAGGGUGGGCUCCUCCUGGACUGGGCUGCUGUCUUCCCUAUGGUGCUGCUAUGCUUACAAAGUACACCUGAGGGUUCAGGACCCACUUCAUCCUCCUGGUUUUACAUGACUGUAUUAGGAGGUACUCUGGGCAGGCAUUUGUUUCAUCAGAGAAAACCCACACAACUCAACAGCUUCUUCUUCAACUACUGUCACCAAAAAGUCAUUGUUUUAAGGCAUACUUGAACAUUUGUAAGACCUCCAUCCUCUGUAAAUGUGUCUCUAAUUUCAGAGUUUCAUGUAACACAGGUCACCCAGUAAUUGAGCAACUCAAUGUGAAUAAUAUAGUAAACAUGAAAUGACAUUUUUGUCAAAUAACUCAGUCUCAUGUUGACCAAAAACCUUUACUCAGUGACAGAAGUGCUGGGUGGGAUUCUUUAAAUAAAAUGAUAUGCUUUAAAAACACACAAAAACCC